rnacentral:rRNA from 1 species
AAUGAACGUUGGCGGCGUGGAUUAGGCAUGCGAGUCGAGCGAGAACCGUAGCAAUACGGGGACAGCGGCGAAAGGGACAGUAACGGGUAGAUUAUCUGCCCUCAGGUUUGGGAUAGCUGCGGGAAACUGCAAGUAAUACCAAAUAAUAUCUCCGGAUCAAAGGUGUGAUUCCGCCUGAGGAUGAGUCUGCCUCCUAUUAGCUUGUUGGUGGGGUAACGGCCUACCAAGGCAUUGAUGAGUAGCGGGUGUGAGAGCACGACCCGCGUCAUUGGGACUGAGACACUGCCCAGACACCUACGGGUGGCUGAAGUCGAGAAUCUUCGGCAAUGGAAGCAAGUCUGACCGAGCGAGGCCGCGGGUGGGAUGGAGGCCUUCGGGUUGUAAACCACUGUCAGAGGGGAUGAAAUGCGGGUGGGUACUCCCAUUUGUUUGACAUAGCCUCAGAGGAAGUACGGGCUAAGUUCGUGCCAGCAGCCGCGGUAAGAC